UGACGCAUUGUAUCCUACUUCAGUCGGUCUUGGAGCAGGUGUUGGAUCUUCUGUUGUUAUUCUUGUUUUUGGUAUUGUCUUCGCUAUUGUAAUAUAUAACAGGAGAAAAAGACUUGCUUACAAAAAGCAGAAAAUACAUUCAAAGGAAAACGAUAACAACAAAACUGUUGUAUUUAGAAGAGAGGAUAAUCAGAAGGACCUGCCACCAAAUAUAUUGAGCGAAAAGAACACUUCAAAGAACACUGUAGAUGUUUAUGUAAAUGAAAUAAAUAGGGGUUUUGAG